AGUCGUAACAAGGUUUCCGUAGGUGAACCUGCGGAAGGAUCAUUAAAGAGAAGGGGAGUUCGCUCUCCGGGGUUUCGGCCCUCCUCUUCACCCGAUGUUUACAUAUCUCUGUUGCUUUGGCGAGCCUCGUUUGUCAAGAACGUGUCGAUUCGGUCGGCAAGUGCUGGCCAAAGGAUUUUAAAUUCUUUCUUAUUGCUGUCUGAAAACACACAAAUCAAUUAAAACUUUCAACAACGGAUCUCUUGGCUCUGGCAUCGAUGAAGAACGCAGCGAAAUGCGAUAAGUAAUGUGAAUUGCAGAAUUCAGUGAAUCAUCGAAUCUUCGAACGCACAUUGCACUCCUCGGUAUUCCGGGGAGUAUGCCUGUUCGAGCGUCAUUUCACCUCUCAAGCGUCAGCUUGGUAUUGGAUCUCAUCCGAAAGGAUGUUUCCGAAAGACAGUGGCAGUCUGGGAACCUUCAAGCGCAGUGAAAAUGAUCGCUCUGAAUUACUCCGACUCGCCAACAACACAUCAACAUCUUGACCUCGGAUCAGGUAGGGAUACCCGCUGAACUUAAGCAUAUCAAUAAGCGGAGGAAAAGAAACCAACAGGGAUUGCCUCAGUAACGGCGAGUGAAGCGGCAACAGCUCAAAUUUGAAAUCUGGCUUCGGCCCGAGUUGUAAUUUGUAGAGGAUGUUUCGGAUGCGACUCUUGUCUAAGUCUUUUGGAACGAGGCGUCAUAGAGGGUGAGAAUCCCGUAUGUGACCGGUAGUCAAAUCCAUGUGAAACUCCUUCGACGAGUCGAGUUGUUUGGGAAUGCAGCUCAAAAUGGGUGGUAAAUUUCAUCUAAAGCUAAAUACCGGCCAGAGACCGAUAGCGCACAAGUAGAGUGAUCGAAAGAUGAAAAGCACUUUGGAAAGAGAGUCAAAAAGUACGUGAAAUUGUUGAAAGGGAAGCGCUUGCAACCAGACCUGUCCGUAGUGAUCAACGGCUGUUCUCAGCCGUGUACUCGCUCCGAUCAGGCCAGCAUCAGUUUGGGCGGUGGGAUAAAGGCCUGGGGAAUGUAGCUCUCCUCGGAGAGUGUUAUAGCCCCAGGUGUAAUGCCGCCAGCCCGGACUGAGGACCGCGCUUCGGCUAGGAUGCUGGCAUAAUGGUUGUAAGCGACC
rnacentral:rRNA from 1 species